UUUGGUGAAGUAUAUUCCUUUUGUUUUUGUUUUUGUUUUUUUGGAGCUUCAACCAAGAAUUCUAUACCCAGUCAAAUUAUCUAUCAAGAAUGAGGGCAGAAUAAAGGCAGUUCAGAUGUGCAAGAACUCAGAAAUUUUACCUAUAAAGCAGAUUUCCUUAGUAUUUCUACAUGAGAAUCUACUCCAGCAAGGUGUGGACAGGAAGAGGAAGAUAAAGCCAAUGUAGGAAGACAACAGAGUGAAGGUGACAAAGAAAGCUGUGCAUCUUCUCUGGAGAACAAUUGGCUCAGACUGGAGCAGCACCUGGCACACACAAGAUGCUCAACAGUGUGUGAGGAAUGAAUCCGUGCAGACAGGCAGAGUUCCUGGGGAUGGGAACCGCUCAGCAGGGGAGUUAGGAUGACUCACUUCAAUCAAUCUUGAUUCCUACCCUCCCUUCCCAAGUAGGAAUGCUCAGCUUCCUCCAGAACCGUUAUGCUUUGAGGAUUUCAAACACAUAUCAAAACCCGGCAUGUUUUCAAACACCACGACCGACACUUGAUUUGUGUUUCCUGAAGCCACCCCAGUGAGCCACUAUGAAAUAAAUUAAAAAGAAUGGUCAAGGCUGAAUGCACACUGAGGUUUCCAUGUGCUCAGCUCAGCAGAUUCAGCAGCCAGUUCUGGGAGAAAUAUUGGAAGGCACGCUGCACCUUUCUUCACAAUGGGAUCAACAGGUGAAAGCAAGACGUUUGAAUGGAGUGGAGUGUUUCACUUAAUCAUUAGCACUGCUGACAUCAAUGAAAACCAAACAAUGCGUAUCGUCGGCAUGGGCACCUACGGUGAGUGGAAAGGAGGCCAGGUUCUUAGUAAGCUUUAUGAUGAGGUAGGGGACAGAUGGGCUUCAAAACAGAGCCGAGGAAGCAGUGUGGCUUAUAUUUCAGCUGCAGCGUACAAUUGUGUUUGUGGUUGAAGAAUCCAAACUGUGCCAGCUAUUUCAAAACAACAUCAGGAGGGCAGAAGUGUGUUCCAGCAUCCCUAGUUGGUGCCAGGAGACAGCCUUGAGAACAAACACAUCUUUUCUCGCAAUAGGAAGCCAACUAUUUACUUAUGCAAGUAAUACUAUAAGAAGGCAUUUGAGUUGCAGCUCCUGAGCUUUGGACCGACCCCUAGACUUGUUUCAAAAAGCUCUUUCUGGAGGAAGAAAAGUCCUGAGGUUCUCAGGUCAAGCCCUGGCUCCAACAACAACUUAAAUCCAAUAAGAGCCUCCUUUGCCUAUAGGUUGAACCAGCCCAGGCAAACACCAUUAAGACAGCUUCCAAACAAAGAUGACAAUAUUACCAUUUCAGCCUGAACCUGGUUGCAAAAUUCAUUUUGUGAAUUUUGGACAAGCAGAACUGUAGCAUGAAUGGGACCCUAACUAAAAUCCAUGCAUUCAACUCAUUCGUUCAACAAAUAUUGAGUGGGAUGUGCCAAUAUCUAUCGACUGGGAAUGUGUAGUAUGACUCCCUGGCAUCAUUAAAGGUGAAUGUAAAUGCAAGAGCAACUGGUAUGGUUGUGCUUUCUUCACAAAUUUGGUUCAGCUACACAGGGUCAGGUGCUAAGGAAGCAAGAGAGUUGGAUUUAACCAGGGCUGUGGUUUUGGAAAAGCAACAUGAAAUGAAGGAAGAGAGAGUUGAGGAUAUGGAAGGAAGUGAUGGAGAUGAAUAAUUAUGGGAUUGAAAAGUGAAUUUUAUUUUAUGUUUUUGAGACAGGGUCUCUCUCUCUCUGUCA